ACCCCAGCCCUUUUCAGGGCUACCCAAAUAUCUCAGAAAGACCUGU
rfam:Branchiostoma floridae genomic scaffold BRAFLscaffold_119, whole genome shotgun sequence.